rnacentral:rRNA from 1 species
AGGACGAACGCUGGCGGCGUGCUUAACACAUGCAAGUCGAGCGGAAAGGCCCUUCGGGGUACUCGAGCGGCGAACGGGUGAGUAACACGUGAGUAACCUGCCCUGGACUUUGGGAUAACCCUCGGAAACGGGGGCUAAUACCGGAUACGACUUCGGAUCGCAUGAUCUGUGGUGGAAAGUUUUUCGGUCUGGGAUGGGCUCGCGGCCUAUCAGCUUGUUGGUGGGGUGAUGGCCUACCAAGGCGACGACGGGUAGCCGGCCUGAGAGGGCGACCGGCCACACUGGGACUGAGACACGGCCCAGACUCCUACGGGAGGCAGCAGUGGGGAAUAUUGCACAAUGGGCGGAAGCCUGAUGCAGCGACGCCGCGUGAGGGAUGACGGCCUUCGGGUUGUAAACCUCUUUCAGCAGGACGAAGCGAGAGUGACGGUACCUGCAGAAGAAGCGCCGGCCAACUACGCGCCAGCAGCCGC